rnacentral:rRNA from 1 species
CAUCUAGGCGGGGAAUUAAGUUAGGUGUGAAAUCCAUGGGCUCAACCCGUGAACUGCACCUAAAACUGAUUCUCUUGAGUUCGGGAGAGGAGAGCGGAAUUCCCGGUGUAGCGGUGAAAUGCGUAGAUAUCGGGAAGAACACCAGUGGCGAAGGCGGCUCUCUGGCCUAGAACUGACGCUGAAGUGCGAAAGCGUGGGGAGCGAACG